rnacentral:tRNA from 1 species
GGGCCGGUGGUCCAGCCUGGCAGGACGCCACCCUUACGAGGUGGAGGCCGCCGGUUCGAGUCCGGCCCGGCCCACCA